rnacentral:rRNA from 1 species
AGUGAACGCUGGCGGUAGGCCUAACACAUGCAAGUCGAACGGCAGCACAGUAAGAGCUUGCUCUUACGGGUGGCGAGUGGCGGACGGGUGAGGAAUAUAUCGGAAUCUACUUUUUCGUGGGGGUUAGCGUAGGGAAACUUACGCUAAUACCGCAUACGACCUACGGGGGAAAGCAGGGGAUCUUCGGACCUUGCGCGAUUGAAUGAGCCGAUGUCGGAUUGGCUAGUUGGGGGGGUAAAGGCCCACUAAGUCGACGAUCGGUAGCUGGUCUGAGAGGAUGGUCAGCGACACUGGAACUGAGACACGGUCCAGAGUCCUACGGGAGGCAGCAGUGGGGAAUAUUGGACAAUGGGCGCAAGCAUGAUCCAGCCAUACCGAGUGGGUGAAGAAGGCCUUCGGGUUGUAAAGCCCUUUUGUUGGGAAAGAAAAGCAGCAGGUUAAUACCCAGCUGUUCUGACGGUACCCGAAGAAUAAGCACCGGCUAACUUCGUG